GGUUAAGCGACUAAGCGUACACGGUGGAUGCCCUGGCAGUCAGAGGCGAUGAAGGGCGUGCUAAUCUGCGAUAAGCGCCGGUAAGGUGAUAUGAACCGUUAUAACCGGCGAUACCCGAAUGGGGAAACCCAGUGUGACUCGUCACACUAUCAUUAACUGAAUCCAUAGGUUAAUGAGGCGAACCGGGGGAACUGAAACAUCUAAGUACCCCGAGGAAAAGAAAUCAACCGAGAUUCCCCCAGUAGCGGCGAGCGAACGGGGAGGAGCCCAGAGCCUGAAUCAGCAUGUGUGUUAGUGGAAGCGUCUGGAAAGGCGCGCGAUACAGGGUGACAGCCCCGUACACAAAAGCGCAUGUGCUGUGAGCUCGAUGAGUAGGGCGGGACACGUGGUAUCCUGUCUGAAUAUGGGGGGACCAUCCUCCAAGGCUAAAUACUCCUGACUGACCGAUAGUGAACCAGUACCGUGAGGGAAAGGCGAAAAGAACCCCGGCGAGGGGAGUGAAAAAGAACCUGAAACCGUGUACGUACAAGCAGUGGGAGCACCCUUCGGGGUGUGACUGCGUACCUUUUGUAUAAUGGGUCAGCGACUUAUAUUCUGUAGCAAGGUUAACCGUAUAGGGGAGCCGGAGGGAAACCGAGUCUUAAUUGGGCGUUAAGUUGCAGGGUAUAGACCCGAAACCCGGUGAUCUAGCCAUGGGCAGGUUGAAGGUUGGGUAACACUAACUGGAGGACCGAACCGACUAAUGUUGAAAAAUUAGCGGAUGACCUGUGGCUGGGGGUGAAAGGCCAAUCAAACCGGGAGAUAGCUGGUUCUCCCCGAAAGCUAUUUAGGUAGCGCCUCGUGAAUUCAUCUCCGGGGGUAGAGCACUGUUUCGGCUAGGGGGCCAUCCCGGCUUACCAACCCGAUGCAAACUGCGAAUACCGGAGAAUGUUAUCACGGGAGACACACGGCGGGUGCUAACGUCCGUCGUGAAGAGGGAAACAACCCAGACCGCCAGCUAAGGUCCCAAAGUCAUGGUUAAGUGGGAAACGAUGUGGGAAGGCCCAGACAGCCAGGAUGUUGGCUUAGAAGCAGCCAUCAUUUAAAGAAAGCGUAAUAGCUCACUGGUCGAGUCGGCCUGCGCGGAA
rnacentral:rRNA from 1 species